rnacentral:tRNA from 5 species
GGCUGAGUAGCUCAGUUGGUGAGAGCGCACGACUCAUAAUCGUGAGGUCGCGGGUUCGAGUCCCGCCUCAGCUACCA